rnacentral:rRNA from 1 species
CCUACGGGGGGCAGCAGUGGGGAAUAUUGGACAAUGGGGGGAACCCUGAUCCAGCCAUGCCGCGUGUGUGAAGAAGGCCCUCGGGUUGUAAAGCACUUUCAGUGAGGAAGAACGCCUGGUGGUUAAUACCCAUCAGGAAAGACAUCACUCACAGAAGAAGCACCGGCUAACUCCGUGCCAGCAGCCGCGGUAAUACGGAGGGUGCGAGCGUUAAUCGGAAUUACUGGGCGUAAAGCGCGCGUAGGUGGCUUGAUAAGCCGGUUGUGAAAGCCCCGGGCUCAACCUGGGAACGGCAUCCGGAACUGUCAAGCUAGAGUGCAGGAGAGGAAGGUAGAAUUCCCGGUGUAGCGGUGAAAUGCGUAGAGAUCGGGAGGAAUACCAGUGGCGAAGGCGGCCUUCUGGACUGAAACUGACACUGAGGUGCGAAAGCGUGGGUAGCAAACAGGAUUAGAUACCCUGGUAGUC